UGAGGAAUAUUGCACAAUGGGCGAAAGCCUGAUGCAGCGAUGCCGCGUGAGGGAAGAAGGUUUUAGGAUUGUAAACCUCUGUCUUCAGGGACGAUAAUGACGGUACCUGAGGAGGAAGCUCCGGCUAACUACGUGCC
rnacentral:rRNA from 1 species